GGUCCUCCAGGGACUGCCCUGCCGCAGCGGGGGACCCCAAGGGAAGUCAGGGAGGGGGCGCCCCCGCCUCUCUCUGUUCCCCCGCUCUCGGGUGUCUGGUUGCACCUCCAGCUCUUGCCAGGGGGCAGACCCCGGCUCCAGCAGGGACCCCCGCCGGGCGCACCCCGAAGGGUUCAGGGCCGCAGCCCCGGGGGGCCGGCACCCCAGCGCCUUUGAACUCCGAACCGAAACCAGUCCUGGUUAAACUGGUUGGCAGACCGGUUCCGGGCGCCCCGCUCCUCCCGGGCCUGGAGCCUCGGUGGGGCUGGGUGGGGGGCUGCGCCUCCCCGACACCAAGCCCCCCCUGGGACCUCCCUGGGGGGAAGGGGCCGGGUGUUCGCAGCCAGACUUCAGCGUCCUCGCGUGCAGAUCCCUGCGUGGUCCAGGGCCUGGCUUUUCCGCGGAGGGUGACGCUUCCCUCAGACCCUCAGGGGACAGUGGCGGGUUCCCCAGCCCAAGUGCCCCCAACUCCCAGGCGGACUGGAAGGGGCUCCUCGGAAUUCUGAAUCUCGGCUACAGACCUAACACUACACUCAGCAAGAGCUUCAGGCCGACUUGAAAAUGUGAAUGAGAAACAGAAACUUCAUGCAGCCCUUUGCUUUACCCUGCUGUCCCAGGGCAGAAGCCAGGCAUUGUGGCGCACAUCUGUCAUCUCAGGACCAGGGAGGCUGAGGCAGGAGAAUCGACCCAAGUUCGACGCCAGCCUGGGCUACAUAGUGAGUUCAAGGCCAACCUGAACUGCACAGGGAGACUCUGUCUCCAAAAAACUCCCCCCAAGUCUGAAACAAAACAAAAGAAAACUCAUCGCAGCUCGCCGAGGCUGUCGGGGUGCUCUUGGGCCUGGGGACAGGAAACAGGUCAGGGCCUGCUUCCCACCCGCACCCCCUGGCCCUGAAGUCCAGGCCUCUGGGGUCUCGGGGAGGGACGGCUGGGACAGCCCAACUCCAGCCGCAGGGCAUUCACCAUGGGCG